GAUGAACGCUGGCGGCGUGCUUAACACAUGCAAGUCGAACGGGAAACUUUUCAUUGAAGCUUCGGCAGAUUUGGUCUGUUUCUAGUGGCGGACGGGUGAGUAACGCGUGGGUAACCUGCCUUAUACAGGGGGAUAACAACCAGAAAUGGUUGCUAAUACCGCAUAAGCGCACAGGACCGCAUGGUCCGGUGUGAAAAACUCCGGUGGUAUAAGAUGGACCCGCGUUGGAUUAGCUAGUUGGCAGGGUAACGGCCUACCAAGGCGACGAUCCAUAGCCGGCCUGAGAGGGUGAACGGCCACAUUGGGACUGAGACACGGCCCAGACUCCUACGGGAGGCAGCAGUGGGGAAUAUUGCACAAUGGGGGAAACCCUGAUGCAGCGACGCCGCGUGAAGGAAGAAGUAUCUCGGUAUGUAAACUUCUAUCAGCAGGGAAGAUAG
rnacentral:rRNA from 1 species